rnacentral:rRNA from 1 species
AGUGAACACUGGCGGUAGGCCUAACACAUGCAAGUCGAACGGCAGCACAGUAGGAGCUUGCUCUUACGGGUGGCGAGUGGCGGACGGGUGAGGAAUACAUCGGAAUCUACUUUUUCGUGGGGGAUAACGUAGGGAAACUUACGCUAAUACCGCAUACGACCUACGGGUGAAAGCAGGGGAUCUUCGGACCUUGCGCGAUUGAAUGAGCCGAUGUCGGAUUAGCUAGUUGGCGGGGUAAAGGCCCACCAAGGCGACGAUCCGUAGCUGGUCUGAGAGGAUGAUCAGCCACACUGGAACUGAGACACGGUCCAGACUCCUACGGGAGGCAGCAGUGGGGAAUAUUGGACAAUGGGCGCAAGCCUGAUCCAGCCAUACCGCGUGGGUGAAGAAGGCCUUCGGGUUGUAAAGCCCUUUUGUUGGGAAAGAAAAGCAGCAGGUUAAUACCCCGCUGUUCUGACGGUACCCAAAGAAUAAGCACCGGCUAACUUCGUG